rnacentral:rRNA from 1 species
GAUGAACGCUGGCGGCGUGCUUAACACAUGCAAGUCGAACGGAAAGGCCCAAGCUUGCUUGGGUACUCGAGUGGCGAACGGGUGAGUAACACGUGGGUGAUCUGCCCUGCACUUCGGGAUAAGCCUGGGAAACUGGGUCUAAUACCGGAUAGGACUACAUUUUGGAUGGUGUGGUGGAAAGUUUUUCGGUGUGGGAUGAGCUCGCGGCCUAUCAGCUUGUUGGUGGGGUAAUGGCCUACCAAGGCGUCGACGGGUAGCCGGCCUGAGAGGGUGUACGGCCACAUUGGGACUGGGAUACGGCCCAGACUCCUACGGGAGGCAGCAGUGGGGAAUAGUGCACAAUGGGCGCAAGCCUGGUGCGGCGACGCCGCGUGGGGGAUAACGGCCUUCGGGUUGUAAACUCCUUUCGCUAGGGACGAAGCGCAAGUGACGGUACCUGGAGAAGAAGCACCGGCUAACUACGUG